rnacentral:rRNA from 1 species
GAUGAACGCUGGCGGCGUGCCUAAUACAUGCAAGUCGAACGAAACUUCUUUAUCACCGAGUGCUUGCACUCACCGAAAAAGGGGUGAGUGGCGAACGUGUGAGUAACACGUGUGCAACCUGCCCAAAAGAGGGGGAUAACAAUAGGAAACAGGUGCUAAUACCGCAUAACCAUAGUUACCGAAUGGUAGCGAUGUAGAAGGUGGUCGUACUACCGCUGUUGGAUGGGCGCGCGGUGGCUUAGCUAGUUGUUGGGGUAAAGCCUUACCAAGGCGAUGACUCGUUGCCGAAUUGAGAGAUGGGUCGGCCACAUUGGAACUGAGACACGGACCUAGCUCCUACGGGACGCAGCAGUAGGGUAUCUUACGCAGUGGGCGAAAGCCUGAUGGAGCAACGCCGCGUGGGUGGAGAAGGUCUUCGGAUCGUAAAGCCCUGUUGUUAGUGAAGAACGUGCGUGGGAGUAACUGUUCCCGUUUCGACGGUAACUAACCAGAAAGCCCCGGCUAACUACGUG